GACGGAGGAUGCAAGUGUUAUCCGGAAUCACUGGGCGUAAAGCGUCUGUAGGUGGUUUAAUAAGUCAACUGUUAAAUCUUGAGGCUCAACUUCAAAAUCGCAGUCGAAACUAUUAGACUAGAGUAUAGUAGGGGUAAAGGGAAUUUCCAGUGGAGCGGUGAAAUGCGUAGAGAUUGGAAAGGACACCAAUGGCGAAAGCACUUUACUGGGCUAUCACUGACACUGAGAGACGAGAGCUAGGGUAGCAAAUGGG
rnacentral:rRNA from 1 species